rnacentral:misc_RNA from 1 species
AAGUCGUAACAAGGUUUCCGUAGGUGAACCUGCGGAAGGAUCAUUAACACGUAUCCAACGUUAAUACCUUCACUCUCUUGAUACAUCGGGGUUGGGCGCAUUCGAACGUAUUCCGGUGUGGUUUCCGGGAGGAAUUCUGCGGGUGGACUGCUGAACUUUAAGGAAGCGAUCCUUUGCUUGGCUCUAUGAGACCGUCCUCUCUUGACUGCAAGGUAAAAGGUUGUUUUGAGGGAGGCUGAGCGUACCGGGUUAAUGCGUCGGGAUUUUGGCUCCCUUGAAUUGUAAGGACCAUUCCCUUCUUGCGCUGAAACCCCGAACAACUGUUAACACUCUC